UUGAACGCUGGCGGCAGGCCUAACACCUGCACGUCGAACGGUAACAGGAAGCAGCUUGCUGCUUCGCUGACGAGUGGCGGACGGGUGAGUAAUGUCUGGGAAACUGCCUGAUGGAGGGGGAUAACUACUGGAAACGGUAGCUAAUACCGCAUAACGUCGCAAGACCAAAGAGGGGGACCUUAGGGCCUCUUGCCAUCGGAUGUGCCCAGAUGGGAUUAGCUAGUAGGUGGGGUAACGGCUCACCUAGGCGACGAUCCCUAGCUGGUCUGAGAGGAUGACCAGCCACACUGGAACUGAGACACGGUCCAGACUCCUACGGGAGGCAGCAGUGGGGAAUAUUGCACAAUGGGCGCAAGCCUGAUGCAGCCAUGCCGCGUGUAUGAAGAAGGCCUUCGGGUUGUAAAGUACUUUCAGCGGGGAGGAAGGGAGUAAAGUUAAUACCUUUGCUCAUUGACGUUACCCGCAGAAGAAGCACCGGCUAACUCCGUG
rnacentral:rRNA from 1 species